rnacentral:rRNA from 1 species
CCUACGGGAGGCAGCAGUGGGGAAUAUUGCGCAAUGGGCGAAAGCCUGACGCAGCGACGCCGCGUGAGGGAUGAAGGUCUUCGGAUCAUAAACCUCUGUCAGCAGGGAAGAACGGUCACUGUGUUAAUCAGCAGUGAAUUGACGGUACCCGCAAAGGAAGCACCGGCUAACUCCGUGCCAGCAGCCGCGGUAAUACGGAGGGUGCGAGCGUUAAUCGGAAUUACUGGGCGUAAAGCGCUCGUAGGCGGUAUGUCAAGUCAAGGGUGAAAUCCCCGGGCUCAACGUGGGAACUGCCUUUGAAACUGGCAGACUGGAGUGUGUGAGAGGAUAGUGGAAUUCCAGGUGUAGGAGUGAAAUCCGUAGAUAUCUGGAGGAACAUCGUUGGCGAAGGCGACUAUCUGGCACAUAACUGACGCUGAGGAGCGAAAGCGUGGGUAGCAAACAGGAUUAGAUACCCUAGUAGUC